rnacentral:rRNA from 1 species
CCUACGGGCGGCAGCAGUAGGGAAUCUUCCACAAUGGACGAAAGUCUGAUGGAGCAACGCCUCGUGAGUGAAGAAGGGUUUCGGCUCGUAAAGCUCCGUUGGUAGUGAAGAAAGAUAGAGGUAGUAACUGCCCUUUAUUUGACGGUAAUAACUUAGAAAGUUACCGCUAACGACGUGCCAGCAGCCGCGGGAAUACGUAGGUGGCAAGCGUUGUCCGGAUUUUUUGGGCGUAAAGCGAGUGGAGGCGGAUCAAUAAGUCUGAUGUGAAAGGCUUCGGCUCAACCCGAGAAUUGCAUCAGAUACUGUUGAGCUUGAGUGCAGAAGAGGUGAGUGGAACUCCAGGUGUAGCGGUGGAAUGCGUAGAUAUAUGGAAGAACACCAGUGGCGAAGGCGGCUCUCUGGUCUGCAACUGACGCUGAGGCUCGAAAGCAUGGGUAGCGAACAGGAUUAGAUACCCCUGUAGUC